UGGGUGAUCUGCCCUGCACUUUGGGAUAAGCCUGGGAAACUGGGUCUAAUACCGGAUAUACCCUGCUGGUCGCAUGGCCUGGUGGGGGAAAGCUUUUGCGGUGUGGGAUGGGCCCGCGGCCUAUCAGCUUGUCGGUGGGGUGAUGGCCUACAAGGCGACGACGGGUAGCCGGCCUGAGAGGGUGUCCGGCCACACUGGGACUGAGACACGGCCCAGACUCCGUACGGGGAGGCA
rnacentral:rRNA from 1 species